UGCAAGACAAUACAAAGAUCUGAUGGAAUU
rnacentral:piRNA from 1 species